rnacentral:rRNA from 1 species
UGAACGCUAGCGACAGGCUUAACACAUGCAAGUCGAGGGGCAGCGGGGGUAGCGAUACCCGCCGGCGACCGGCGCACGGGUGAGUAACGCGUAUGCAACUUGCCUAUCAGAGGGGGAUAACCCGGCGAAAGUCGGACUAAUACCGCAUGAAGCAGGGGCCCCGCAUGGGGGUAUUUGCUAAAGAUUCAUCGCUGAUAGAUAGGCAUGCGUUCCAUUAGGCAGUUGGCGGGGUAACGGCCCACCAAACCGACGAUGGAUAGGGGUUCUGAGAGGAAGGUCCCCCACAUUGGUACUGAGACACGGACCAAACUCCUACGGGAGGCAGCAGUGAGGAAUAUUGGUCAAUGGCCGAGAGGCUGAACCAGCCAAGUCGCGUGAGGGAUGAAGGUUCUAUGGAUCGUAAACCUCUUUUAUAAGGGAAUAAAGUGCGGGACGUGUCCCGUUUUGUAUGUACCUUAUGAAUAAGGAUCGGCUAACUCCGUGCCAGCAGCCGCGGUAAUACGGAGGAUCCGAGCGUUAUCCGGAUUUAUUGGGUUUAAAGGGUGCGUAGGCGGCCUUUUAAGUCAGCGGUGAAAGUCUGUGGCUCAACCAUAGAAUUGCCGUUGAAACUGGGGGGCUUGAGUAUGUUUGAGGCAGGCGGAAUGCGUGGUGUAGCGGUGAAAUGCUUAGAUAUCACGCAGAACCCCGAUUGCGAAGGCAGCCUGCCAAGCCAUGACUGACGCUGAUGCACGAAAGCGUGGGGAUCAAACAGGAUUAGAUACCCUGGUAGUCCACGCAGUAAACGAUGAUCACUAGCUGUUUGCGAUACAUUGUAAGCGGCACAGCGAAAGCGUUAAGUGAUCCACCUGGGGAGUACGCCGGCAACGGUGAAACUCAAAGGAAUUGACGGGGGCCCGCACAAGCGGAGGAACAUGUGGUUUAAUUCGAUGAUACGCGAGGAACCUUACCCGGGUUUGAACGCAUUCGGACCGAGGUGGAAACACCUUUUCUAGCAAUAGCCGUUUGCGAGGUGCUGCAUGGUUGUCGUCAGCUCGUGCCGUGAGGUGUCGGCUUAAGUGCCAUAACGAGCGCAACCCUUGCCACUAGUUACUAACAGGUAAAGCUGAGGACUCUGGUGGGACUGCCAGCGUAAGCUGCGAGGAAGGCGGGGAUGACGUCAAAUCAGCACGGCCCUUACAUCCGGGGCGACACACGUGUUACAAUGGCGUGGACAAAGGGAAGCCACCUGGCGACAGGGAGCGAAUCCCCAAACCACGUCUCAGUUCGGAUCGGAGUCUGCAACCCGACUCCGUGAAGCUGGAUUCGCUAGUAAUCGCGCAUCAGCCAUGGCGCGGUGAAUACGUUCCCGGGCCUUGUACACACCGCCCGUCAAGCCAUGGGAGUCGGGGGUACCUGAAGUCCGUAACCGAAAGGAUCGGCCUAGGGUAAAACUGGUGACUGGGGCUAA